rnacentral:rRNA from 1 species
AUUGAACGCUGGCGGCAGGCUUAACACAUGCAAGUCGAGCGGGGUGAUGGUGCUUGCACUAUCACUUAGCGGCGGACGGGUGAGUAAUGCUUAGGAAUCUGCCUAUUAGUGGGGGACAACAUCUCGUAAGGGAUGCUAAUACCGCAUACGUCCUACGUGAGAAAGCAGGGGAUCACUUGUGACCUUGCGCUAAUAGAGGAGCCUAAGUCGGAUUAGCUAGUGGGUGGGGUAAAGGCCUACCAAGGCGACGAUCUGUAGCGGGUCUGAGAGGAUGAUCCGCCACACUGGGACGGAGACACGGCCCAGACUCCUACGGGAGGCAGCAGUGGGGAAUAUUGGACAAUGGGGGGAACCCUGAUCCAGCCAUGCCGCGUGUGUGAAGAAGGCCUUAUGGUUGUAAAGCACUUUAAGCGAGGAGGAGGCUCUUUUGGUUAAUACCCAAGAUGAGUGGACGUUACUCGCAGAAUAAGCACCGGCUAACUCUGUGCCAGCCGCCGCCGUAA